rnacentral:rRNA from 1 species
AUUGAACGCUGGCGGCAGGCCUAACACAUGCAAGUCGAACGAGUGGCGGACGGGUGAGUAAUGUCUGGGAAACUGCCUGAUGGAGGGGGAUAACUACUGGAAACGGUAGCUAAUACCGCAUACCAUCAGAUGUGCCCAGAUGGGAUUAGCUAGUAGGUGGGGUAAUGGCUCACCUAGGCGACGAUCCCUAGCUGGUCUGAGAGGAUGACCAGGCACACUGGAACUGAGACACGGUCCAGAGUCAGACGGGAGGCAGCAGUGGGGAAUAUUGCACAAUGGGCGCAAGCCUGAUGCAGCCAUGCCGCGUGUAUGAAGAAGGCCUUCGGGUUGUAAAGUACUUUCAGCGAGGAGGCGUUACUCGCAGAAGAAGCACCGGCUAACUCCGUGCCAGCAGCCGCGGUAAUAC